AUUGAACGCUGGCGGCAUGCCUUACACAUGCAAGUCGAACGGCAGCACGGGAGCAAUCCUGGUGGCGAGUGGCGAACGGGUGAGUAAUAUAUCGGAACGUGCCCGGUCGUGGGGAUAACGUAGCGAAAGCUACGCUAAUACCGCAUACGAUCUACGGAUGAAAGCGGGGGAUCGCAAGACCUCGCGCGAUUGGAGCGGCCGAUAUCAGAUUAGGUAGUUGGUGAGGUAAAGGCUCACCAAGCCGACGAUCUGUAGCUGGUCUGAGAGGGCGACCAGCCACACUGGGACUGAGACACGGCCCAGACUCCUACGGGAGGCAGCAGUGGGGGAAUUUUGGACAAUGGGCGCAAGCCUGAUCCAGCAAUG
rnacentral:rRNA from 1 species